UACGUGAGGGUGCGAGCGUUGUCCGGAAUUGAUUAGGGGCGUGAAAGGGCUCGUAGGCGGUCUGUCGCGUCUGCUGUGAAACUCAGGGCUUAACCCUGAGCUUGCAGUGGGUAGGGCAGACUAGAGUGCGGUAGGGAGACUGGAAUCCGUGGUGUAGCGGUGAAAUGACGCAGAUAUCAGGAGGAACACCGGAUGGCGAAGGCAGGUCUCGUGGGCUGACACUGACGCUCAUGCACGAAAGCGU
rnacentral:rRNA from 1 species